UGGCGCUGCUGGUCCAGGCCCAUUACAGCACAGGGCUCGCCGUGCCGGACAGCCGGGGAUCCCAGAGGGGACUGCUCGCCGCAGGGUGAAGAAACAUGGAGAAAACGCCCAGAGGUUCUUGUUCCAGAGCCACUGCUACCUGAAGAACUCACGGCCGUCUCUGCAGAGGGCUGCAGCCGUGUUUGUAGCGGGCUUUGGAUAAGGCUCAGACUUCUCCAGCACCAGCGAACCCAUGUCAGGAUUUUGAAGCUUUGGGAAAGACCAUUUUAGAGUUGGAGAAUUCCCUGCUGUUCGGUGUGUGGGCACGCUCAGGGCUUCUGGUCACGCGCCCGGACAAAAUCCGGGAG
rnacentral:lncRNA from 1 species